GGGGGUAGUUGGCGGCCUGGUGCUGUCCUCGGACUUCAAAUCCGAUGGUGGGCUGACGAAGUCCACGGUGGGUUCGAUUCCCAUCUACUCCCGCCA
rnacentral:tRNA from 1 species